UACGUAGGGUGCAGGCGUUAAUCGGAAUUACUGGGCGUAAAGCGUGCGCAGGCGGUCUUUUAAGUCAGAUGUGAAAUCCCCGGGCUUAACCUGGGAACUGCGUUUGAAACUGAAAGGCUAGAGUGUGGCAGAGGGGGGUGGAAUUCCACGUGUAGCAGUGAAAUUCGUAGAGAUGUGGAGGAACACCGAUGGCGAAGGCAGCCCCCUGGGCUAACACUGACGCUCAUGCACGAAAGCGUGGGGAGCAAACAGG
rnacentral:rRNA from 1 species